rnacentral:tRNA from 1 species
GGGUGUGUGGUCUAGGGGUAUGAUCACUGCUUUGGGUGCAGUGGGUCCUGGGUUCGAAUCCCAGCACACCCC